ACCAUCCUGUUCUUGGGGUAGCACUACUGUCCAAUGAAUAAGUAGCAAGGGCAGUACUGCUAACGCCUACACAACACGCUCACAUCAACUAGAGCUUUGUUUUACUUUGGUGCAAUUUUUGGAAAA
rnacentral:ncRNA from 1 species